GGCCUACGAGACCAAGGGCCAGCGCAGUGAGGAGGCGCAGAGGGGUCACGACCCCCUCAUGUCAGCCCUGGACAACCUCAACAGAGUCCAGCAGCUGGAGAUCAUACAUGGAUACAACGACAUGAAGACGGAGCUGAAAGACUUCCUCCAGAGCUUUGCAGCGGAGGGAAAGGUGGUGACGCCCGACGACAUCAGACGGUUCUUUGAACAGCAGCAGAGCAGGAAGAGGCGGCGGGCGGACGGGCAGAUGUUCUGAUCUCAGAUCAGUUCUGACGCCGCCGGUUUUUACCCGGACUGUAGUACUGUGCUCAAGUUCUAUAGUACCUUAGUUCAUGUGUAACAGUGCACCCUAUAUUAAAAGUCGGUAAAUAUAGAAUAUUGUAUCUUUUAUUUUUUAGGGCUAUCACACACCCCCAUCCCAGCAGAACGUACAAGACGCAACACCUUAAAGUUGUUUAUUCGUAAUUUCAGGAUCUUAUAUUUUCAAUAUUCGCACACAGGUAGGAUAUCACACAACAUUUCGCCAAUAGUGGUACAUAGUGCACUCUACCAUUAUAGGAGGUAGAUGUGAAUGUACAACAGUACACCCUACCCCUACAGUGGUACAUGUGCUAUAGCACUGGUCUACUCGGUAGGCUGCAAUGUACCACAAUACAUCCUACCUUCAAACUAGGUAGAUUUGUUAUAUGAACUAUUGUACACCCUACCUUUGUACUAGGUAUAUGUGAUAAAUGUUCUAUUGUAUCCUAUCUUUAUACUAGGUAGAACAUCUGCGGUUUUGUGUAAAUAACGCUUUAAUCAUUGAUUGUAUUUUAAAAAUGGUUCUUCAUUGGCAUAUUGAUAAACGUGUUUAUUAAAGUGUCAACCCUGGUUUGCUGCCGUUUGAAGGAGAA